rnacentral:rRNA from 1 species
UACGUAGGGUGCAAGCGUUGUCCGGAAUUAUUGGGCGUAAAGAGCUCGUAGGCGGUCUGUCGCGUCGGAUGUGAAAAUCCAGGGCUCAACCCUGGACCUGCAUUCGAUACGGGCAGACUAGAGUUCGGCAGGGGAGACUGGAAUUCCUGGUGUAGCGGUGAAAUGCGCAGAUAUCAGGAGGAACACCGGUGGCGAAGGCGGGUUGCUGGGCCGACACUGACGCUGAGGCGCGAAAGCCAGGGGAGCAAACGGG